AGAGUUUGAUCCUGGCUCAGGACGAACGCUGGCGGCGUGCCUAAUACAUGCAAGUCGAGCGGACCGAACGAGGGCUUGCUCUUGUUUGGUCAGCGGCGGACGGGUGAGUAACACGUGGGCAACCUGCCCGCAAGACCGGGAUAACUCCGGGAAACCGGAGCUAAUACCGGAUAACACCGAAGACCGCAUGGUCUUCGGUUGAAAGGCGGCCUUUGGGCUGUCACUUGCGGAUGGGCCCGCGGCGCAUUAGCUAGUUGGUGAGGUAACGGCUCACCAAGGCGACGAUGCGUAGCCGGCCUGAGAGGGUGACCGGCCACACUGGGACUGAGACACGGCCCAGACUCCUACGGGAGGCAGCAGUAGGGAAUCUUCCGCAAUGGGCGAAAGCCUGACGGAGCGACGCCGCGUGAGCGAAGAAGGCCUUCGGGUCGUAAAGCUCUGUUGUGAGGGACGAAGGAGCGCCGUUCGAAGAGGGCGGCGCGGUGACGGUACCUCACGAGAAAGCCCCGGCUAACUACGUGCCAGCAGCCGCGGU
rnacentral:rRNA from 1 species